rnacentral:rRNA from 1 species
AGUGGCGAACGGGUGAGUAACACGUGAGUAACCUGCCCUUGACUCUGGGAUAAGCCUGGGAAACUGGGUCUAAUACCGGAUACGACUGCUCCGCGCAUGCGGUGGUGGUGGAAAGCUUUUGCGGUUUUGGAUGGACUCGCGGCCUAUCAGCUUGUUGGUGGGGUAAUGGCCUACCAAGGCGACGACGGGUAGCCGGCCUGAGAGGGUGACCGGCCACACUGGGACUGAGACACGGCCCAGACUCCUACGGGAGGCAGCAGUGGGGAAUAUUGCACAAUGGGCGAAAGCCUGAUGCAGCGACGCCGCGUGAGGGAUGACGGCCUUCGGGUUGUAAACCUCUUUCAGUAGGGAAGAAGCGAAAGUGACGGUACCUGCAGAAGAAGCGCCGGCUAACUACGUGCCAGCAGCCGCGGUAAUACGUAGGGCGCAAGCGUUAUCCGGAAUUAUUGGGCGUAAAGAGCUCGUAGGCGGUUUGUCGCGUCUGCUGUGAAAGACCGGGGCUCAACUCCGGUUCUGCAGUGGGUACGGGCAGACUAGAGUGAUGUAGGGGAGACUGGAAUUCCUGGUGUAGCGGUGAAAUGCGCAGAUAUCAGGAGGAACACCGAUGGCGAAGGCAGGUCUCUGGGCAUUAACUGACGCUGAGGAGCGAAAGCAUGGGGAGCGAACAGGAUUAGAUACCCUGGUAGUCCAUGCCGUAGACGUUGGGCACU